rnacentral:rRNA from 1 species
UACGUAGGGUGCAAGCGUUAAUCGGAAUUACUGGGCGUAAAGCGUGCGCAGGCGGUUUUGUAAGUCUGUCGUGAAAUCCCCGGGCUUAACCUGGGAAUGGCGAUGGAGACUGCAAGGCUAGAGUUUGGCAGAGGGGGGUAGAAUUCCACGUGUAGCAGUGAAAUGCGUAGAGAUGUGGAGGAACACCGAUGGCGAAGGCAGCUCCCUGGGUCAAAACUGACGCUCAUGCACGAAAGCGUGGGGAGCAAACAGG